rnacentral:rRNA from 1 species
AUUGAACGCUGGCGGCAGGCCUAACACAUGCAAGUCGAGCGGAUGAAGGGAGCUUGCUCCUGGAUUCAGCGGCGGACGGGUGAGUAAUGCCUAGGAAUCUGCCUGGUAGUGGGGGAUAACGUCCGGAAACGGGCGCUAAUACCGCAUACGUCCUGAGGGAGAAAGUGGGGGAUCUUCGGACCUCACGCUAUCAGAUGAGCCUAGGUCGGAUUAGCUAGUUGGUGGGGUAAAGGCCUACCAAGGCGACGAUCCGUAACUGGUCUGAGAGGAUGAUCUGUCACACUGGAACUGAGACACGGUCCAGACUCCUACGGGAGGCAGCAGUGGGGAAUAUUGGACAAUGGGCGAAAGCCUGAUCCAGCCAUGCCGCGUGUGUGAAGAAGGUCUUCGGAUUGUAAAGCACUUUAAGUUGGGAGGAAGGGCAGUAAGUUAAUACCUUGCUGUUUUGACGUUACCAACAGAAUAAGCACCGGCUAACUUCGUG